rnacentral:tRNA from 1 species
GGACUUGUAGCUCAACGGAUAGAGCGACCAGGUUGUUCUAACAUGAGAACAGCUUAGCGUAUUUUGCGGGUUCAAAUCCCGCCAAGUCCU